CUGACUAGGAAGUGGUCGGAUGAUCACGUGUGAAAUUUGAGUGUCUUUUACAGCGCAAGACUAAUAAACCUAUCAGCUCAGUAAAGCAGCAGGCCACAGGGUAUUUUUCCAGCCAUUUAGAUCAAAAGUUCUUUUUUCUCCGAUGCCGCUCCACUCCUGAGGGGAGAGGGUGGCGGGAGCUCUCUGGGUCACAUGAUGGUGCAGCGGUUCCUCUGUAGCGCCCCCUGCAGACGGAUGGAGGUGUGGUUCUGGCGCAUACCCCGUGCCACGGCGAUGCCCAGCAGCUCUUUGAAGAGCAGGAUUAUGUGCCAGUUAAACUUGGCAGAGCACUCCACGUAACCGCACUUCCAGGUCUUCUUCACCAGGACUGACACCGCCCUGCGAGGCAUGAAGCGCUGCCGCUGCAGAUCUCUCUUGUUGCCCACCACUAGGAUCGGCACCUCACUACUGCUGCCUUCCCUGCAGGAGCAUAUGGACAGAUAACUCGACAGAGAGGAAAGACACAGAGAGAAAAUGUAGAUUACAGUUUUGAAGCCCCUGAGGCAAAGUUCUUAAAGGCAAUCGAUGAACAGCCCAGUGUCCCGAUGUGAACGACCAGACAGACGAACUGCAAUUUGCCAUACAUACACAAUCAAUCAAUAAAUAAGUACAUUUUCUAAAA